UUGCUCCUACGGGGCGCAGCAGUGGGGAAUAUUGCACAAUGGGGGAAACCCUGAUGCAGCGACGCCGCGUGAGUGAAGAAGUAAUUCGUUAUGUAAAGCUCUAUCAGCAGGGAAGAAAAUGACGGUACCUGAGUAAGAAGCCCCGGCUAACUACGUGCCAGCAGCCGCGGUAAUACGUAGGGGGCAAGCGUUAUCCGGAUUUACUGGGUGUAAAGGGAGCGUAGACGGCGAAGCAAGUCUGAAGUGAAAGCCCGCGGCUCAACCGCGGAAUGGCUUUGGAAACUUUU
rnacentral:rRNA from 1 species